UGCAGUCGAGCGGACCGACGGGAGCUUGCUCCCUUAGGUCAGCGGCGGACGGGUGAGUAACACGUGGGUAACCUGCCUGUAAGACUGGGAUAACUCCGGGAAACCGGGGCUAAUACCGGAUGCUUGAUUGAACCGCAUGGUUCAAUCAUAAAAGGUGGCUUUUAGCUACCACUUGCAGAUGGACCCGCGGCGCAUUAGCUAGUUGGUGAGGUAACGGCUCACCAAGGCGACGAUGCGUAGCCGACCUGAGAGGGUGAUCGGCCACACUGGGACUGAGACACGGCCCAGACUCCUACGGGAGGCAGCAGUAGGGAAUCUUCCGCAAUGGACGAAAGUCUGACGGAGCAACGCCGCGUGAGUGAUGAAGGUUUUCGGAUCGUAAAACUCUGUUGUUAGGGAAGAACAAGUACCGUUCGAAUAGGGCGGUACCUUGACGGUACCUAACCAGAAAGCCACGGCUAACUACGUGCCAGCAGCCGCGGUAAUACGUAGGUGGCAAGCGUUGUCCGGAAUUAUUGGGCGUAAAGCGCGCGCAGGCGGUUUCUUAAGUCUGAUGUGAAAGCCCCCGGCUCAACCGGGGAGGGUCAUUGGAAACUGGGGAACUUGAGUGCAGAGAGGAGAGUGAAUUUCCACGUGUAGCGGUGAAAUGCGUAGAGAUGU
rnacentral:rRNA from 1 species